rnacentral:rRNA from 1 species
GACGACGCUGGCGGCGUGCCUAACACAUGCAAGUCGAGCGGAGGAUGCGGCGUAGUAAUACAAAGUAUCUUUAGCGGCGGACGGGUGAGUAACACGUGGGUAACCUGCCUCAGAGUGGGGGAUAGCCUUUCGAAAGGAAGAUUAAUACCGCAUAAGAUUGUAGCGUCACAUGGCGCAGCAAGAAAAGGAGCAAUCCGCUUUGAGAUGGACCCGCGGCGCAUUAGCUAGUUGGUGAGGUAACGGCUCACCAAGGCCACGAUGCGUAGCCGACCUGAGAGGGUGAUCGGCCACAUUGGAACUGAGACACGGUCCAGACUCCUACGGGAGGCAGCAGUGGGGAAUAUUGCACAAUGGGCGAAAGCCUGAUGCAGCAACGCCGCGUGAGUGAUGAAGGCCUUCGGGUCGUAAAGCUCUUUGAUCAGGGAUGAUAAUGACAGUACCUGAAAAACAAGCCACGGCUAACUACGUG